rnacentral:lncRNA from 1 species
CUUGUUUCGAGGAGAAGUGGCCGGGCACAGACAGCCGGGGUAGGCAGUGAGGUUUCACUUGACCUUGCCUCGGUCAGCUGUGGCUGCUGUGACGAAUACCCAGACAGUGGGACUCAGCCAACAGACAUUUAUGACCCUGAAGUCCAAGAUCAGGGUGCUGGCAGGCCUGGGUCCUGGUGAGGGCUCUCUUCCUGGCCCAUAGGCGGCCGCCUUCUUGCAUGUCCUCAGGUGGUAGAAAGAGAGGCCGCUCGUUUUUUCUCUUCUUUAGAGAAGGUAGCCUCCCACGGGUGGAGACUCAGGACCUCGUCUGAACCUAGGACUCCCCACAGGCCCCACCUGCUAGUUCCAUUAUGUUGGGGGUGGGCGUCAACCUGUGAGUGUGUAGGGGCCACGCAUCAGCCCAUAGCAAGGUCAUUGGGCUCAGUCUCCCUUAAAUCAAUGCACAAAUCCCGAGGUCCACUUAGGGGACAGUGUGCCCUGUGCUCCCUCCAGUCACAGAAAGCCCACUGCCUCUAGGCCCUGUCUCACUUGAGUCUCUACCUGGCCCCCCCUGGCUUAAAAGUCCUGGGGUGGCCCCUCACCCCUUCUCCUUUGACCUCAGCGUGAAUCCCAGCUCUGCCGGGGUGCACAGGAGCCUGCGGCACUCACCCCAUGCUGUGCAUCUUCUAGCCCUCUUCCCACCUGCCCCCCAGCUGUCUCCUUUCCUGACAGGCUCUAAGCACCCCUGGGACUUGGCACCUGUGUCCCCCCUUCCCCUGCCUGGUCACUGGGCUGACUCUGACCUCUAGGCCACGCAUGCCUCAGCUCAGGUGUCAUUACCCUGAUCCGGCCACCAUCCCACCCUCUUCUGAAUUAGAUGCAGCUUUGUCCUCCCACAGUGAACGGGGCCUGCACCUGCCACCUGUCACCUGAGUGCUCUAGAAACUGCCCGCUGAGGCUCCAGCUGCUGUCCCAACGGUGAGCUCUAGCCAGGAAGGGCCAUGCCUGCCUUGUUAAUGAUGGUGUGUUCAGUGUCUGGCUCCAGGCAGAGGGGGCACUUGGUGACACUUAUGGGAACGAGUCAAAAGGUGAAUUAAGAAUGUCAUCCAAAUGCCGAAUGUUUUCUCUGAUAUAAGGUGAUUGACUCAUAAUGGGGUAGGGAGGGGGAGCAUGGGACAAAUAGAG